UUACGGCCAUGUCACAUUAAAAAAAACUGUUUCUCGUAAGAUCACCGAAGUUAAGCAACGUCGAGCCUGGUCAGUAACUAGAUGGGUGACCAUUUAGGAGUAACAGGUGAUGUAAG